rfam:Gossypium raimondii Chr03_contig_977, whole genome shotgun sequence.
UGUUAAAAAAUUUCUCCACUUUUACUAUUAAAAACUGGCGUAACAGGGUUGAUAGAAUAAUUAAACAGUAGCACUUUGUUUUGUGUGCCACGUGUACCUUAUUUAAUGUAUAGGGAUCAAUUUUUAACAAUAGAAAUGGAUAAAAAAUUUUAACA